GGAGACCACUCCGGUGGUUUAGUGGUUAGAGCGUCUGCCUCGGGUACGGAAAGUCGGGUUCGAACCCCGGCCGCUUCA